rnacentral:miRNA from 1 species
AGUAUUGGGUUGGCCAAAAAGUUCAUUCCAGUUUUUGCCUACACCUUUACAGAAAAACCUGAAUGAACUUUUUUGGCCAACCCAAUAAUAUAACC